UACAGAGGUCUCAAGCGUUGUUCGGAUUCAUUGGGCGUAAAGGGCGCGUAGGCUGCGGGGCAAGUCGGGUGUGAAAUCUCAGAGCUCAACUCUGAAACUGCACUCGAUACUGCUUUGCUCGAGGACUGGGAGAGGAGAUUGGAAUUCACGGUGUAGCAGUGAAAUGCGUAGAUAUCGCUCGGAACGCCAACGGAGAAAUCAGCAGGCUGGGGAUGUGCUGACGUGAGACGCGAAAGCCAGGGGAGCAAACGGG
rnacentral:rRNA from 1 species